UACGUAGGAUGCAAGCGUUGUCCGGAAUUAUUGGGCGUAAAGCGCGCGCAGGAGGUUUCUUAAGUCUGAUGUGAAAGCCCACGGCUCAACCGUGGAGGGUCAGUGGAAACUGGGGAACUUGAGUGCAGAAGAGGAAAGUGGAAUUCCAAGUGUAGCGGUGAAAUGCGUAGAUAUUUGGAGGAACACCAGUGGCGAAGGCGACUUUCAGGUCUGUAACUGACACUGAGGCGCGAAAGCGUGGGGAGCAAACAGG
rnacentral:rRNA from 1 species